CCCUUAGAUGUUCUGGGCUGCACGCGCGCUACACUGAUGCACUCAACGAGUUUACGACCUUGCCCGAUAGGGUUGGGUAAUCUUUUUAAAAUGCAUCGUGAUGGGGAUAGAUUAUUGCAAUUAUUAAUCUUCAACGAGGAAUUCCUAGUAAACGCGAGUCAUCAGCUCGUGCUGAUUACGUCCCUGCCCUUUGUACACACCGCCCGUCGCUCCUACCGAUUGAGUGCUCAGGUGAAUAAUUCGGACUGCAGCAAUGUUUGGAUCCCGAACGUUGCAGCGGAAAGUUUAGUGAACCUUAUCACUUAGAGGAAGGAGAAGUCGUAACA
rnacentral:rRNA from 1 species